GAUGAACGCUGGCGGCAUUGCCUUACACAUUGCAAGUCGAACGGUAGAGUAGCAAUACUUUGAGAGUGGCGAACGGGUGAGUAAUAUAUCGGAACGUACCUAGUAAUGGGGGAUAACGUAGCGAAAGUUACGCUAAUACCGCAUACGUCCUAAGGGAGAAAGCAGGGGAUUCGCAAGAACCUUGCGUUAUUAGAGCGGCCGAUAUCGGAUUAGCUAGUUGGAGAGGUAAAGGCUCACCAAGGCAACGAUCCGUACCUGGUCUGAGAGGACGACCAGGCACACUGGAACUGAGACACGGUCCAGACUCCUACGGGAGGCAGCAGUGGGGAAUUUUGGACAAUGGGGGCAACCCUGAUCCAGCCAUGCCGCGUGCAGGAUGAAGGCCUUCGGGUUGUAAACUGCUUUUGUUAGUAAUGAAAAGGUAAUCAAUAACACUGGUUACUGCUGACAGUACCUAAAGAAUAAGCACCGGCUAACUACGUGCCAGCAGCCGCGGUAAUACGUAGGGUGCAAGCGUUAAUCGGAAUUACUGGGCGUAAAGCGUGCGCAGGCGGUUAUAUAAGUCAGAUGUGAAAUCCCUGGGCUCAACCUAGGAACUGCAUUUGAGACUGUAUAGCUAGAGUGUGUCAGAGGGGGGUAGAAUUCCACGUGUAGCAGUGAAAUGCGUAGAGAUGUGGAGGAAUAUCAAUGGCGAAGGCAACCCCCUGGGAUAACACUGACGCUCAUGUACGAAAGCGUGGGGAGCAAACAGGAUUAGAUACCCUGGUAGUCCACGCCCUAAACGAUGUCUACUAGUUGUUGGGGCUUUCGAGCCUUAGUAACGCAGCUAACGCGUGAAGUAGACCGCCUGGGGAGUACGGUCGCAAGAUUAAAACUCAAAGGAAUUGACGGGGACCCGCACAAGCGGUGGAUGAUGUGGAUUAAUUCGAUGCAACGCGAAAAACCUUACCUACACUUGACAUGCUAAGAAGUUCCUAGAGAUGGGAGUGUGCUUGAAAGAGAACUUAGACACAGGUGCUGCAUGGCUGUCGUCAGCUCGUGUCGUGAGAUGUUGGGUUAAGUCCCGCAACGAGCGCAACCCUUAUCAUUAGUUGCUACGAAAGGCACUCUAAUGAGACUGCCGGUGACAAGCCGGAGGAAGGUGGGGAUGACGUCAAGUCCUCAUGGCCCUUAUGUGUAGGGCUUCACACGUCAUACAAUGGUCGGUACAGAGGGUAGCCAACCCGCGAGGGGGAGCCAAUCUCAUAAAACCGAUCUCAGUCCGGAUCGUAGUCUGCAACUCGACUACGUGAAGUCGGAAUCGCUAGUAAUCGCGGAUCAGCAUGUCGCGGUGAAUACGUUCCCGGGUCUUGUACACACCGCCCGUCAAACCAUGGGAGUGGGUUUCACCAGAAGUAGUUAGCCUAACCGCAAGGAGGGCGAUUACCACGGUGGGAUUCAUGACUGGGGUU
rnacentral:rRNA from 1 species